ensembl:lncRNA
UUGGGCGAUCCUCUUGCUUCUGACUUUCAGGUGGGCAGAAGACUCUACUAUCCAGGACAGGUGCCCCUGUCGGAAGCGGUGAAACCUGAGACUGGGAACCGCAGCCGCUGUCAGGGGAGUGGGCGGCUGUUGUGUUCGGGUGUUUCUGAUGGAUCUGUCCUUUCCUGGCAGCUGGGAAGGAGCGGGUGGCUUUGAUCACAACUGCUGCUGGGCCAGGGAGUCCUGGAGAGAGGGAUGGCGCUCACCUAUGGGCAGCAGCAGCAGGGUUGUUUGGAUGCUGCUAAGUGACCAGAGACCAGAGAAGUCUAUCCUACCCGGGAAGAGGAGCCUCUCCACCCCUCCCCCGCAGGAGGGCAGGGUGGCCCCGGGCGAGCGCGCUCCCGCGCUCCCGCGCUCCCGCAGAUGCGCGCCCUGGCGUCGGGACUCCUUCCUUGGGGACCUGGCUUACAAAGGCCAGGCCAGCCCUGCACCGCGGUGUCUGCGACGGGCCACCGAGUGGGUCCCCGACCAAUGAACCCCAACUUUAGAGAGCAGUGGCUCCGGGGGUCCCGCGGGUCCCAGGCUCUCUGUCGCCUGCCCCGGGAGGCCUUUUCUUUCUUUGGGCCGACAAGGCGGGGUCAUCUACCGCGAAGACGAAAAUCUUUCCAGGAAGUUUGUACCUAUUAAUAUUCCAGUUCCUGGCAGCCGCUCUCCGCGCCGGGGAGGGGGCAGGGCGGACCCCGCAGCUGCUUCUACAGCCGAGGCAAGGGGCGGAGGGGCAGCUCCUAGGUCCCCACACCACGGCGGGGGCAGAAACCGCUCCGAGGCUCAACGUGCCGGAGCCCGGAGGUUUGCCCGGAGCGGCGCGCGGUGGGACCCGGAGGAUCCCGAGGCCCAGACGAAACCAAGAGCUGGGACGCGGGAGGGGUGUGGGAGAGGGACAGGAGGGAUCGGUGCCUCGGGGAGGGGUGUGGGGCAACCCGGGGCCCGCACUUGGGCUGCGCCGCUCCCCCCAAAAGAAAGCUGGUCCGGGAAGCUGGAGCCCGCGGCCCUGGAGAGGUCGGGACCCUGGUCCUGACCUUGCUGUGGUAACACAGCCGCAGGGCGCUGCAGCAGAAAUUUGAUAUUUGAGAGCCUACGGGCUCCUCGCCACCACCUUGCACGACGGCCACUGUCUCCAUCACAGACGGAGGAACUGGAGCUCACGAGCAGCCGAGGGACUGGCGCGCUGGAGGUCGUGGUGUGGUCAGCCACCGCAGGGACCCGCUGUGAGCCAGGAUCUCCUCCUAGAAGGAAGCGCAGCUGUCCUCCUGCAGGAGCGGCCAGCAGACUCCUCAGCCCCGGGAACCAACCGCAGCACCCACCCGGAGCUUGCUGGAUUUGCAGAAGCUCUUUCGGGGCCCAAGUGCCAGCUCAGUCUUUCUGUCUGGUCACAUGUGGGACAUAAAUCACUUUGUCAAAGCACCCGAGUUUGUAACGCCGCUGGGGCCUCUGUAGAUAAGCUUUGACUGGAGUGUAUGUAGGCUUCUGACCUGGGCUCGUCAAGUGCUAACUGACCCCGAGCAGGAAUUAAGUUCCUGUGUUGCACUGUCUUCCUCGGCAUUCUAGAGUCGUUUGCAAGGCGCUAUGGCAAUCUUCCUGCCCACGAUGGUUAAACCUUACCCUGUGCGGGGACUCUGUCCACCUCUGUGUGUCCUUCCUGUCCAGCCACCAGGUCACCAGUGCUGAGACAUGAACGGACAAAGGUGUCUCAACACCCGCUCCUCGCCUGCCUCCGCACGCACGCAAGCCUCCAACCUUCAGGGUCUCUUGGUAGCCUAGGAUCCAUGUACACCAGUGGGCCUGAGGGGAUGCUGUGACAGAAUUUGGUAUCUUUUUUGGGGGGGGGAGGGUUUCGAGACGGUUUCUCUGUGUAGCUUUGGGGCCUAUCCUGGCACUCGCUCUGUAGACCAGACUGGCCUUGAACUCACAGAGAUCCGCCUGCCUUUGCCUCCCAUGUGCUGGGAUUAAAGGCGUGCGCCACCAAUGCCCGGCUCAGGAUUUGGUAUCUUAAGAUAGGAUUUGCCAACUAGAAAGUCUUCCCAUAGCCCUUCUCCUGAGAAAAAAUCCUGAAAGGCCAAGUCCCAAAUGGAGUGAGUGUGAGACCCAUCGAGGGUGGCCUCUUUUCUGUCUCCUUGGAGUGCCAGGUGUGGAGACCUCUCCUGGACUUUCAACCGUCAGCAGGAGAUGCCUUUUGGAACCUAAAGUCCACAAGCAUGGCUGCCUCCUCAGCUCUGAAGCCUUCUUCGGGUUGUUUUCCUUCACACCCAAAAGGUACAACGAGGAGAAGGCCCUGUCAAAUAAAUGCUCUGGGUUCAGCUUGGGUGAGCCAGGAAACCCAUUGCCUUCCCUGAAGCCUGCUAGGUUGCUACGCACAGGUCCCUGGGAACAAUGAGGUAGCAUCAGCUAUUUCAAUGCAGAGUUAGGCACACAAUCCUUGCUAAAAAUAAAUACAAAGGAAAACCCCAAAGUAGCUAAGCCUAUUUUCAUACCUUUUUUUUUUUUUUUUUUUUUUCUUGCUUGGGGCUCUUUUGUCUUCCUCUUGUUACUUGGUGGCUGGCUGGUUUUUCUUCCAGGGCCUACCCUGGUCCUGGACAUGCAGCCAUAGGCAGAAACAGAGGGGAGAAAGGGGACAAUCUAAGGACCAUUUAUUUGAGUGAAAUUUACAUUAAGUGGGAUGAUGGACCCCUUUCAGAGAGAGACUUGGGGGAGCUCAGGGGUGAGGAUCUCCCUCCCCCUGAGCAGCUCUUCUAUGGAGAAAGGCUUUAUUUAUUUAUUUUUAUCUUAUAUACAUUGGUGUUUUGCCUGCAAGUAUGUAUUUGAGAAUCAGAUCCCCUUGAACAGCGGUUACAGACAGCUGUGAACUAUCAUGUGGGCACUGGGAAUUGAACCUGGUUCCUCUCAAAGAACAGCCCACAGUGCUCUUAACUGCUGAGCCAUCUCUCCAGUGCCUGGGGAAAGGAGUUUUGUAGAGCAGGGGAUGAAGCAUGCCUCACCCCAUAGCAGAGGACAAAUCUGAGUUUCUUUGGGCUCCUGGGGGCAUCACCUCAUCACUUUAGAAACAAAAGUGACAAAUUGUGAGGAUGACCCCUCCCUUUGUGUGAUCUAUUGAGGGGCAGUAGUGCGGAUUUUCUCUGCCAGCCUCUCCCCCACUUCUGAGGACCUCUGACUUGGCCAGGAGCCAGAACUGCUCCCAUCACUGGCUUGUUGAGGGAACUUGGGAGUUCCACUCCUGCUGAAACACGGCAUUCUCGCUUUUCUUGUCUGUCUCACUGCUGCUGAGCCCACAGUGCCUUGGCACCCGCCCUGGGAAGACAGAAGUGAGCUUCUUCUCCCGGCGGGGAGGGGACCUGGUAACCGGUUAACGAUGGCAAUAUCCUAGGUACCCUAGGCUGGAAGAGUGCGAGUUAACUGGGAGCAGAGGGCCCAGCCUGGGCAGGGAGCUCCCUAAGGAUGAGGGAGGCCCCAGCUUCCCUCUGUGUCCCCUGUCCUACUCAGUGGGUCUUUGGGCUGGCUCCCGCAGAACACUGCCCCAUCUGCUAUUUUCCCAAGGAUUUGGGUGUCACUCUGUUGUGAUUCUCCAGCUCCAGCUUAUGUACUUAAGUAUUUAUAGAGAUUUGGGUGGGCUAGAGAGUUGGCUCAAGGGUUAACAGCACUGGUUGAGCUUCUAGGGGACUCGGUUCAAUUUGCAGCACCCUGGCUGCCCGCAAGUGUAUUCACCUCCUGCUCCAGGAGACCAGGAGCCCUCUUCUGGCCUCUUCCGGUACUGCAUUAUGUCGUGCAUAGACAUACAAGAAGGUAAAAAAAUAAAAACAUACACACAUAAGAAAACAUUUUUUCACCGGGCAUUGCACGCCUGGCUUUUAUAAUGACUUUGCCUACAUACCGGUUGGGUAAGCUUCACAGUCACAUAGUUCAGAGUUCUUUCUUUGUGGGGCUGGGGUGGAAUUCAGGUCCUCUUGAAUGCUAGGCAAUCAGUUUACCCCAGAGCCGAGCCCAGCAGUUCAUACUGUAAAAAGGCAGAAGGGAGCCAGCCAAGGGUGGCGACCAUACUUUUGGUUCCAGCUACACAGGAGGUUGGGUCCUCAAGAGCUUGAGACCAGCACAGGGCAAUGGAGCAAGCCCCAGCGUUUGGUGGUGGUAUCUUUUGCACUUUUGUUUGUCUCUGUUGGUGCACCCAUGUGCCCUGGC